rnacentral:lncRNA from 15 species
AUGAUCUCAUCUCUGUUUCAACAGGGCUUAAAUGUCUCAUCUGUGAACCUUGGAUUUGUUUGGUCCCUCUUGUUUGUACAGGAAGUCGGCACCACACCAAACCUGCCCAUCCCUCGUAUAAACAACAGGGAAAGGCAGGGCCCCUAAUCUGUGCCCGGGAGAGCUCACCCUGCUCUCCCCUCCUGAACUUUGUCUUGGUGCAGGUCACCUCACUGGGGCCACGGGGGAGAGGCUACCUCAGCCAAGCCCUAAUCCUGGGGAGUCGAUAGAUGCUAGCAUGGCUGCAGGCCUCAGCUCUGCACAAACGCCCCAGGGAGAGCUGCUCAUUUCAAUAAAUGUAAAGUGAUGCUGUCCACAAGCAAACAUGAAAGCUACACACACACACACACACACACACACACACACACACACACACACACAUGUUAAUAAACAUGCACACACAUACCCACACACGUGAGUUGGAGAUGUGAUGGAGAAUUGGUCCUCGGGGCGAAAUAUGGAGGAGUGAUCCGGUGAUGUAGUUAAAUGACAGGCAAGCGAGUGGAACAUUUGCUCGCUUGAUGCUGUCGAUGCGUCGCUGCUGCCCCGAUAAGACCUUAUUUACAUUUGUCAGGGUGGAAUUGAUUUCUUUUUUGCCCUUUACAGACUGCUCAAACUGCAGAGUGGAUGGGAGCUGUGUCGCACACCUCUGAGCCAAGAAUGUCUGUCAAAGUCUUGGUUAUAAAACCCUGACAACUUUUGAAAAAAAAAAAAAAUUAAAAAGAAAAUCCGGAAUUUUCUCUCAUUUUACUUCAUACAUACUGCCACACGUGUGGCCGCACAAGCCUACAACCUUCACCUUUAUGUGUGUGACAGGGACAUAUGUUGAUGUUAACCCCCUGUGGAGAGGAGCCUGGUGCAAAAUCUGUUUGUGUUUG